GUGCUCGCUUCUGCAGCACAUAUGCUAAAAUUGGAACAAUAACUGAGAAAAUCAGCAUGACCCUGUGGCAAGGAUGACAAGCAAAUUCGUGAAGCAUUUCAUUUAAAG
rnacentral:snRNA from 1 species